CGAUGCGCAGCUUACACAUGCAAGUCGAGCGGUAACAGGGGGUGCUUGCACCCCGCUGACGAGCGGCGGACGGGUGAGUAAUGCAUAGGAAUCUGCCCAGUAGUGGGGGAUAGCCCGGGGAAACCCGGAUUAAUACCGCAUACGCCCUUUGGGGGAAAGCAGGGGAUCUUCGGACCUUGCGCUAUUGGAUGAGCCUAUGUCGGAUUAGCUAGUUGGUGGGGUAAAGGCCUACCAAGGCGACGAUCCGUAGCUGGUCUGAGAGGAUGAUCAGCCACAUCGGGACUGAGACACGGCCCGAACUCCUACGGGAGGCAGCAGUGGGGAAUAUUGGACAAUGGGGGCAACCCUGAUCCAGCCAUGCCGCGUGUGUGAAGAAGGCUUUCGGGUUGUAAAGCACUUUCAGUGAGGAGGAAAACCUUCUGGUUAAUACCCAUGAGGCUUGACGUUACUCACAGAAGAAGCACCGGCUAACUCCGUGCCAGCAGCCGCGGUAAUACGGAGGGUGCAAGCGUUAAUCGGAAUUACUGGGCGUAAAGCGCGCGUAGGUGGUUUGAUAAGCGAGAUGUGAAAGCCCCGGGCUUAACCUGGGAACGGCAUUUCGAACUGUCAG
rnacentral:rRNA from 1 species